rnacentral:rRNA from 1 species
UACGGAGGGGGCUAGCGUUGUUCGGAAUUACUGGGCGUAAAGCGCACGUAGGCGGCUUUGUAAGUUAGAGGUGAAAGCCCGGGGCUCAACUCCGGAAUUGCCUUUAAGACUGCAGCGCUAGAAUUGUGGAGAGGUAAGUGGAAUUCCGAGUGUAGAGGUGAAAUUCGUAGAUAUUCGGAAGAACACCAGUGGCGAAGGCGACUUACUGGACACAUAUUGACGCUGAGGUGCGAAAGCGUGGGGAGCAAACAGG